CAGUCGCCGCGGUAAUACGAAGGGGGCUAGCGUUGCUCGGAAUUACUGGGCGUAAAGGGAGCGUAGGCGGACUGUUUAGUCAGAGGUGAAAGCCCAGGGCUCAACCUUGGAAUUGCCUUUGAUACUGGCAGUCUUGAGUACGGAAGAGGUAUGUGGAACUCCGAGUGUAGAGGUGAAAUUCGUAGAUAUUCGCAAGAACACCAGUGGCGAAGGCGGCUCACUGGCCCGGAACUGACGCUGAGACGCGAAAGCGUGGGGAGCAAACAGGAUUAGAUACCCCUGUAGUCCCUGUCUCUUAUAC
rnacentral:rRNA from 1 species